rnacentral:rRNA from 2 species
ACGGGUGAGGAAUACAUCGGAAUCUACUUUUUCGUGGGGGAUAACGUAGGGAAACUUACGCUAAUACCGCAUACGACCUACGGGUGAAAGCAGGGGAUCUUCGGACCUUGCGCGAUUGAAUGAGCCGAUGUCGGAUUAGCUAGUUGGCGGGGUAAAGGCCCACCAAGGCGACGAUCCGUAGCUGGUCUGAGAGGAUGAUCAGCCACACUGGAACUGAGACACGGUCCAGACUCCUACGGGAGGCAGCAGUGGGGAAUAUUGGACAAUGGGCGCAAGCCUGAUCCAGCCAUACCGCGUGGGUGAAGAAGGCCUUCGGGUUGUAAAGCCCUUUUGUUGGGAAAGAAAUCCAGCCGGCUAAUACCUGGUUGGGAUGACGGUACCCAAAGAAUAAGCACCGGCUAACUUCGUGCCAGCAGCCGCGGUAAUACGAAGGGUGCAAGCGUUACUCGGAAUUACUGGGCGUAAAGCGUGCGUAGGUGGUUGUUUAAGUCUGUUGUGAAAGCCCUGGGCUCAACCUGGGAACUGCAGUGGAAACUGGACAACUAGAGUGUGGUAGAGGGUAGCGGAAUUCCCGGUGUAGCA